rnacentral:rRNA from 1 species
CCUACGGGAGGCAGCAGUGGGGAAUAUUGGACAAUGGGGGCAACCCUGAUCCAGCCAUGCCGCGUGUGUGAAGAAGGCCCUCGGGUUGUAAAGCACUUUCAGUGAGGAAGAACGCCUGGUGGUUAAUACCCAUCAGGAAAGACAUCACUCACAGAAGAAGCACCGGCUAACUCCGUGCCAGCAGCCGCGGUAAUACGGAGGGUGCGAGCGUUAAUCGGAAUUACUGGGCGUAAAGCGCGCGUAGGUGGCUUGAUAAGCCGGUUGUGAAAGCCCCGGGCUCAACCUGGGAACGGCAUCCGGAACUGUCAAGCUAGAGUGCAGGAGAGGAAGGUAGAAUUCCCGGUGUAGCGGUGAAAUGCGUAGAGAUCGGGAGGAAUACCAGUGGCGAAGGCGGCCUUCUGGACUGACACUGACACUGAGGUGCGAAAGCGUGGGUAGCAAACAGGCUUAGAUACCCGGGUAGUC